rnacentral:rRNA from 1 species
GACAGAGGGUGCAAACGUUGUUCGGAAUUACUGGGCGUAAAGCGUGUGUAGGCGGUGAGGUAAGUCAGGUGUGAAAUCCCACGGCUCAACCAUGGAAGUGCACUUGAUACUGCUUCGCUUGAGUACUGGAGAGGUUGGUGGAAUUCUCGGUGUAGAGGUGAAAUUCGUAGAUAUCGAGAGGAACACCGGUGGCGAAGGCGGCCAACUGGACAGAUACUGACGCUGAGACACGAAAGCGCGGGGAGCAAACAGG